rnacentral:rRNA from 1 species
GACAAACGCUGGCGGCGUGCCUAACACAUGCAAGUCGAGCGGAGAUACCUGACGAGUAAUCAGAGGGUAUUUUAGCGGCGGACGGGUGAGGAAAACGUAGGAACGUGCCCCUUGGAGUUGGAUAGCCACGGGAAACUGUGGGUAAACCGACAUAGACUCGAGAGAGUAAAGGCCGAAAGGUGCCAAGGGAGCGGCCUGCGGCCCAUCAGGUAGUUGGUAGUGUAAAGGACUACCAAGCCGACGACGGGUAGCUGGUCUGAGAGGACGAUCAGCCACACUGGGACUGAGACACGGCCCAGACUCCUACGGGAGGCAGCAGUAGGGAAUCUUGCGCAAUGGGCGAAAGCCUGACGCAGCAAUGCCGCGUGCGGGACGAAGGCCCUAGGGUCGUAAACCGCUUUCAGUAGGGACGAAAAUGACGGUACCUGCAGAAGAAGCUCCGGCCAACUACGUG